UACGGGGGGGGCAAGCGUUGUUCGGAAUUACUGGGCGUAAAGGGUGCGUAGGCGGCUUUCUAAGUCGGAUGUGAAAACUCUGGGCUCAACCCAGAGCCUGCAUCCGAAACUGGAGAGCUAGGGUUCUGGAGGGGAAAGCGGAAUUCCUGGUGUAGCGGUGAAAUGCGUAGAUAUCAGGAGGAACGCCGGCGGCGAAAGCGGCUCUCUGGCCUGUUACUGACGCUGAGGCGCGAAAGCUAGGGGAGCAAACGGG
rnacentral:rRNA from 1 species